UAAGGAAUAUUGAACAAUGGUCGCAAGACUGAUCCAGCCAUGCCGCGUGCAGGAAGACGGCCCUAUGGGUUGUAAACUGCUUUUGUACCAGAGAAAACCUAUCUACGUGUAGAUAGCUGAUAGUAUGGUAAGAAUAAGCAUCGGCUAACUUCGUGCCAGCAGCCGCGGUAAGACGAAGGAUGCAAGCGUUAUCCGGCUUCAUUGGGUUUAAAGGGUGCGUAGGCGGGCUUGUAAGUCAGUGGUGAAAUCUCUCAGCUUAACUGAGAAACUGCCAUUGAUACUGCAGGCCUAGAGUAUAGAUGACGUUGGCGGAAUAUGACAUGUAGUGGUGAAAUACUUGGAUAUGUCAUAGAACACCGAUUGCGAAGGCAGCUAACGAAACUAUAACUGACGCUGAGGCACGA
rnacentral:rRNA from 1 species